CAAAUCUCUCAUUGACCUGAAGUCCUUGCAACGAAUUGCAUAUAUUAAAUGGACUUCCAGUAUCUAAUACCCAGGUCGAAUUAUCACAUAGAGAAAUUACAAGGUGUUAUCAUAUCAAUACCUUGAUCAGCAACUGAUUGCUCUUUUCUCUUGCUUGGCCUGUUCGGGUCAAGUGAGGUAAGGUACUGAGGAUAAUUUCUCUUCCAAUGCCCCUGCUUCUUACAAUAGAAGCAUUCUGC
rnacentral:lncRNA from 1 species